AUGCGCUCGCUCGUGAACCAGACACGAUGCGCUCUUGUAUGCGUCCAGGAAACCAAAAAGUCCGCGUUUACGCCGCCGGAGCUCUGUGAAACGGUAAGCCCCGUGCUCUCAGAGCAUGCCGUUUUGCCAGCGGAUGGCACGCGAGGCGGGAUCUUACUCGCUUGGAACCCGUCUGUCUUUCGGCUUGAUUGCAUUGCGGUCACCGAGUUCGCCAUCACCGCCCGCGUCAAUCCUCUCCUUGGUGGCCAGCCCUGGUGGUUAACCUCCGUUUACGGGCCAACGGGUGACGCGGAUAAGCUGCGCUUCCUUGCUGAGCUCGCGGGUCUGCGUGCGGUGGCGCACGGGCCCUGGCUCAUCGUCGGCGACUUCAACCUCAUCUACGAGGCGCGCGACAAGAGCAGCCCGAACCUCAACCGCCGGCUCAUGACCUGCUUUUGGGACGCGCUGAAUGCUAGUGAGCUCCGCGAGCUCAAGCUGGCCGGGCGGCGUUUCACCUGGUCCAAUGAGCAGGCUAGGCCAGUGCUGGUCCGUCUGGAUCAGGCCUUCUGCGACGGUGACUGGGACCUCACCUUCCGAGGCACCAGGCUACAGCCGCUGGCCACCGCCAUGUCGGAUCACUGCCCACUGCUGCUUACUUGUGAGCCGCCGGUCCGACGGCCGUCGUGCUUCUGUUUCGAGGCUUUCUGGCCACAUAUCGAAGGCUUCCAAGAGCAUGUCACCGCGGCCUGGAACGAGGGAUGCCCGCCGAUGGAUGCGUUCGGUCGCCUAGCCCUCAAGCUACGGCGAACUGCAGCGGCAUUGCGCCGAUGGCAUCGCACUCGCAUUGGUGACACCCGACUGCUGCUUCUGUUCACCCAGGAGGUUGUGUUUCGCCUUGAGACGGCUCAGGAAUCCCGUAACCUCAAGGCGGAUGAGUUGCAACUGCGAAAAAUCUUAAAGUCCAGGAUCCUGGCCCUCACGGUCAUUGAGCGGAUCCGCGCCAAACAGCGAUCCAGGGUAACGUGGUUGCGGGCCGGCGAUGCCAACACGAAAUUUUUCCACCUCAAGGCAAAUGCUCGGCGCCGAAAGAACUUUAUCGCAUCCCUGAGCAAUGACAACGGCAUUGCCACUGAUCAGGGCCGCAAGUCGGAAGUCGCCACAGCUUUCUUUCAGCGACUUGUGGGCACACCGUAG
rnacentral:rRNA from 1 species